rnacentral:rRNA from 1 species
GACGAACGCUGGCGGCGUAGAUUAGGCAUGCAAGUCGAACGGUAUCAUCCUUUCGGGGGUGAGAGAGUGGCGAACUGGUGAGUAACACGUAGGUUAUCUACCCUCAAGACGGGGACAACCCAGGGAAACUUGGGCUAAUACCGGAUGUGAGCAACUUUUAGUUGUUUGAAAGGUGGCGUAAGCUGUCGCUUGGGGAUGAGCCUGCGUCCUAUUAGUUAGUUGGUGAGGUAACGGCUCACCUAGGCAAUGAUAGGUAGGCGGCCUUAACGGGUGGUCGCCCACACUGGGAUUGAGAUACGGCCCAGACUCCUACGGGAGGCAGCAGUCGAGAAUAGUCUACAAUGGUCGGAAGACUGAUAGUGCGACGCCGCGUGAACGAUGAAUCCCUUCGGGGUGUAAAGUUCUUUUAUAUGUGAGCAGUGCUUCUUAUAUUAACAGUAUGGGGAGAGAGAUAUUAAGCAUAUGAAUAAGCAACGGCUAACUCCGUGCCAGCAGCCGCGGUAAACA